UUGGGUUGAUGAUACUAGUGGAUGGAGCUGGAGGACUUCUGAAUAAAGAGAAUUCAAAGGAGGCAUGUGGUUUGUCAGAAGUAAUUGAUGGAACCUAAUAUAUUGAAGAAGUUUGAAGACGUGGGUAAAUGAAGAAAGAUAUCCCACCGUGUCUUUUAAACUCAUUUAAUCAUGAUGAAUAUGUGGAAAGAUUUGAAGAAAGAUUCAUGCUAUCCUUAGACUUUUACGUGAUAGCAUUGAACCAUUCACUUAUUGGAAGAUGAAGAUUUGAGUUUCAGCUUUGAGAAACUACCACGGCAAAUGGUGGUGACUGUAGUACAUUGGAUGCUCGCGGAGGAGGCAUCGAUUAGUGUAGUUACUUUAAGUACACGACAUUGUAAUUGAAUA